UAUUAAAUUACUAAAUUGUGACAUUUGCUCAGGUGGAUGCUGGGGUCUCAUCUAUCGGAUUGCAAUGUAUAUCCAUUUUGUUAAUUAAAGAUUACACAUA